UGAUUUGACUCGGGGUGUCAUUUGCAAUUUGGUUUUGCUAAUGGCUGAGAAUUUACCCGUUGAACCUGAUCUGGGCUCAUACCAGCGUAGGGAAGUCUCCGCUUUCUAGU
rnacentral:ncRNA from 1 species